GACGAACGCUGGCGGCGUGCUUAACACAUGCAAGUCGAACGGAAAGGCCCUGCUUUUGUGGGGUGCUCGAGUGGCGAACGGGUGAGUAACACGUGAGUAACCUGCCCUUGACUUUGGGAUAACUUCAGGGAACUGGGGCUAAUACCGGAUAGGAGCUCCUGCUGCAUGGUGGGGGUUGGAAAGUUUCGGCGGUUGGGGAUGGACUCGCGGCUUAUCAGCUUGUUGGUGGGGUAGUGGCUUACCAAGGCUUUGACGGGUAGCCGGCCUGAGAGGGUGACCGGCCACAUUGGGACUGAGAUACGGCCCAGACUCCUACGGGAGGCAGCAGUGGGGAAUAUUGCACAAUGGGCGGAAGCCUGAUGCAGCAACGCCGCGUGCGGGAUGACGGCCUUCGGGUUGUAAACCGCUUUCGCCUGUGACGAAGCGUGAGUGACGGCAAUGGGUAAAGAAGCACCGGCUAACUACGUG
rnacentral:rRNA from 1 species